CCUGACUGCUAUCGGAUUGAUACUAAGCCAUGUGAGUCAUUGUAGCAAUACAAGGCAGACGGCUCAGUAACACGUAGCCAAUCUAACCUAUGGACGGGGAUAACCUCGGGAAACUGAGGAUAAACCCCGAUAGAUCAUUAUGCCUGGAACGGUUUAUGGUCCAAAUGAUUCGUCGCCGUAGGAUGAGACUGCGGCCUAUCAGCUUGUUGGUGAGGUAAUGGCCCACCAAGGCUAUUACAGGUACGGGCUCUGAGAGGAGAAGCCCGGAGAUGGGUACUGAGACACGGACCCAGGCCCUAUGGGGCGCAGCAGGCGAGAAACCUUUGCAAUGUGCGCAAGCACGACAAGGUUAAUCCGAGUGUUUCCUGCUAAAGGAAUCUUUUGUUAGUUUUAAAAUCACUAUUGAAUAAGGGGUGGGCAAGUUCUGGUGUCAGCCGCCGCGGUAAAACCAGCACCUCAAGUGGUCAGGAGGAUUAUUGGGCCUAAAGCAUCCGUAGCCUGCUCUGUAAGUUUCCGGUUAAAUCCAUUAGCUCAACUAAUGGCUUGCCGAAAAUACUGUAGAGCUAGGAAGUGGGAGAGGUAGACGGUACUCGGUAGGAAGGGGUAAAAUCCUUUGAUCUAUUGAUGACCACCUGUGGCGAAGGCGGUCUACCAGAACACGUUCGACGGUGAGGGAUGAAAGCUGGGGGAGCAAACCGGAUUAGAUACCCGGGUAGUCCCAGCUGUAAACGAUGCAGACUCGGUGAUGCCCUGGCUUGUGGCCAGUGCAGUGCCGCAGGGAAGCCGUUAAGUUUGCCGCCUGGGAAGUACGUACGCAAGUAUGAAACUUAAAGGAAUUGGCGGGGGAGCACCACAAGGGGUGAAGCCUGCGGUUC
rnacentral:rRNA from 1 species